CCCUGGCUAGCUCUGUUGGUAGAGCAUGAGACUCAUAAUCUCAGGGUAGUGGGUCCAUGUCCCAUGUUGGGCA
rnacentral:tRNA from 1 species